ensembl:lncRNA
CGUGUGUCAAGCAGAGGACGGUUUAGAACCGUGUGUCAAGCAGAGGACAGUUUAGAGACGUGUGUCAGACAGAGGACGGUUUAGAACCCUGUGUCAAGCAGAGGACAGUUUAGAGACGUGUGUCAGGCAGAGGACGGUUUAGAACCGUGUGUCAGGCGGAGGACGGUUCAUGAUGCCCUGAGUCUGAGUGAAAACCUUUCAGAACCAAAGAUCCAACAAAGGAUCUUUGACUUUCCUCACAUGAUUAUUACGAUACGUGCUCGUGUUCCAUCCAAACAAGAAACACAAAAGAGUCUUCUCAAUUUCCCUGUUUCAUAUACUGAAAUGUAUCUUCACUGGUUUUCACGUUGGAUGUGGACGCCUUCGCGGGGGAGAUGCGACGUGUUCUUCAGAUUGCGUGAAGGAAGGAACUGAGACUCUUAAUUUCUCUGAUCCCGCGGCUUCCUGAAAUGGCCGGCUUAAACCAUGUUCUGCUGUUCUC